UACGGAGGGAGCUAGCGUUGUUCGGAAUUACUGGGCGUAAAGCGCACGUAGGCGGCUAUUCAAGUCGGGGGUGAAAGCCCGGGGCUCAACCCCGGAACUGCCCUCGAAACUAGAUAGCUAGAAUCUUGGAGAGGCGAGUGGAAUUCCGAGUGUAGAGGUGAAAUUCGUAGAUAUUCGGAAGAACACCAGCGGCGAAGGCGACUCGCUGGACAAGUAUUGACGCUGAGGUGCGAAAGCGUGGGGAGCAAACAGG
rnacentral:rRNA from 1 species